rnacentral:lncRNA from 1 species
AUGGUAAUAGAACACAUACUUUUGGUUAUAUCUUGCAUUGCAACCCAAGACAUUUUGGAAAUCAGCAUUUUGUCACCUCUUCUGGUGUCUCAGUCAGGAAUACCCAGUGCCAGAUCAUGUACCUGGCCAAGAGCUGAAGGAUUUUGGGAACUUUCAAGGAGAGAGGUUUACAUCACUGGGGUUGUCAUCUAUAGGCUGGGGGCUUUUCCAGGCACAGUACUCAGCUCCUCUUCUAGAGGAGUUCUCCUGGGGGAGCAAAGAGCUUCAUGGUGUGGCACAGGCAACUGAGAUUCUGCUCAGGGGUUUUAGAUGACGAUUGCAGUUUGAAUUGCUGAAUCCUUGGACUUACAGGUAUCUCAUAUCUGGUUUUGGUUCUUCUUAGUUAGCUUUUGGGAGUGAGCAAAGCUUGACACAUUUCUUAACUGUUUAAAAAGGCUGAUGUUAGAUUAUAUAAAAAUGCUAUCAAAAAUGUACAUGUGUUUGGUGUUACAGAGGAAAAUAAUCAGCCUUGUUUAUGAGCUGGGCAGUUGGACUGCAGACCCCAGAAGGUUCUUCCCACCAGCAUGUCUCUGUUUUUGGUAACUGAGGCAAAACUAGAAAGCUGAGCUUCAGGUCUCCAUUUGUGGAAAAAGAUGGAAGGAGGCCCAGCUUUCCUGACUACACAAGGAGAGUAAAUAAAUAUGAUUAAAUAAACA